UGUUGUUAAUGUAAGUUGACGUCUGUCAAUAGAUCUAAUCAAUCUUGCUCUUUUAUGUGUAAGACUGAAAUUAUAAUAAAUUGUUUGUACUGAAAAUCAUAUCAGUUAUUAUUUUCAAACCACGUAAUUUUUCUUUAUGGUAGCAGAGCGUGGUUCUGUAGAAAUAACAGAAGACUGAAGGAAGUGAUUAUACAACUGUUAAAAUUAAGUUAAGUAAUUUGGAAGUUAUAAAACUUCACCUUCAAAAUGGGUUCAAAUUUGUCUAAUUUGGAAAAACUAGUCGGAAGAGAAAAUUUUACCACUUGGAAAUUCACUAUGAAAAUAUAUUUACAGCAUGAGGAUUUGUGGUGUUGUAUCGAACUGUCUGAUAACAAACCAAUUGAAGCAAGUAAGGAUGUAAAGGCCAAAGCCAAGUUGAUUCUACUUCUGGACCCUCAAAAUUAUGUUCAUGUUCAAGAUUGUUCAACUGAAAAAGAGGUAUGGGAAUGUUUAUAACAAGCUUUUGAUGAUAAAGGGCUCACGCGAAGAGUUGGCUUACUAAAAGACUCUAUAAAUACUAAAUACUACAUUGGAAUCUAGUAAUAGUGUUGAAGAAUAUGUGAGCAAGAUUAUGAAUACUGCUCACAAGCUGUGUAACAUUGAUUUUGACGUAAACGAUGAAUGGCUUGGUACUUUGAUGCUGGCAGGCUUACCAGAUGAAUACAAGCCCAUGAUUAUGGAGCUUGAAAGCUCGGGCAUUAAAAUAAGUGUUUAUUCAGUUAAGUCUAAGUUAAUACAAUAAAUUAGUACAUCAAAGUCAACAGUCUUUUAUACAAAUUAUAAGAAAUCCAGAAGUAAUACUCAGCAAGUUAAAAACAGAGGACCAAAAUGCUAUAAUCGCAAUAAAUAUGGUCAUUUUGCUAAACUAUGUAAACAACCAAAGAAGUUAGCGAAUAAAGGAGAAGGUUCAAGUUUUGUAGCUGCUUUCCCAGUAACUGUUAAACAAAAUGUGAGUGAUAAGUGGCUAAUAGACUCAGGAGCAUCUUUGCACAUGACUUGCAGAGAUGACUGGUUGUAUAAUGUCACUGAGCCAACUGUGAAAAGUGUUACUGUGGCAAACAGAGAGCCAUUAACUGUAAAAGGAGUUGGAUGUGUGAACAUUCAAAUAAAUCAGAAAGAUAAAAUACAAGUUAAAAAUGUACUGUUUGUUCCUGGUUUAGCUGCCAAUCUCCUUUCAGUCAGCACAAUCGUGAAGAAAGGGCAUAAUAUUAUAUUUUAUGACAAGGGAUGUGACAUUCAGAAAGCUAAAGGAGAGGUUAUCUGUAAUGCAGUAUUAAAAAAUAACCUAUAUGUUAUGAACAUAAGUGGAGAAGAGGUUCAUCUGACUUCAAGUGCUAUGAAUUCUAAUGACACUUAUCUGUGGCAUCUGCGAAUGGGACACUUGAAUUUUUCAGAUAUUAAGAAACUGCCAAAUUGUGUUGAAGGUGUGCUUUGACUUCAGACAAAGGUAAUGUGAUCACAUGUAUUUAUUGUUGCGAGGGAAAACAUGCUCGGUUACCAUUUAAAAAUGUAGGUUCAAGAGCAGUAAGACCACUUGUACUAAUACAUUCUGAUUUAUGUGGCCCUAUGGAAAAUAUUUCAUAUGGAGGUAAGAAAUAUUUUAUAACUUUCAUUGAUGACUACACACGAAUGGUACAUUGUACUUCCUUAAAGAUAAAAUGAGUGUACCUGAUACGUUCAAAAAUUUCAAGUCAAAAGUAGAGAAUGAAUUGAAUUGUAAAAUUAAAAAGUUACGCACAGAUAAUGGUAAAGAGUACUGUAAUAACAAUUUUGAGAAAUUUUUAACUAAUCAUGGUAUAAUUUAUCAGACAUCUACUUCGUAUACUCCAGAGCACAAUGGCUUGGCAGAACGAAUGAACAGAACACUAGUGGAGCGAGCAAGGUGUAUGUUGUUUUAUGCCAACCUGGAGAAGAAACUAUGGGCUGAAGCUUUGGCAACUGCUGCGUAUAUUGUAAAUAGAUCUCCUACAAAGGCUUUGGAAGAUUUUUAGUUCUGUUGCUAUGGUACAUGUACCAAAAGAAAAACGUCAAAAAUGGGAUAAAAAAUCUGAGAAAAUGUUGUGAAGUUAGUUUGCUGAGGUUAUUGUGAAAAUUCCAAAGGAUAUCGAUUAACAAAUCCUUUAACACAUAAAACAGUAAAAAGUAGAGACAUAACUUUUAUUGAGAAGUAUACUGAAGAUAAUAAUAUACUUAUACCUUCCGAUGUUGAAGUUGCAGACAUGGAGGGCCGGUCAGCCAGUAAUAGCACUGCUCCUACCAGUACUAGGAUGUCAUCUGAUAUUCAAAAUCAGGAAAUACACACUCAGGAGUCAUCAAAUGAACAUCUAACCAAUAUUUUAUUUAAAUAAAAAAGAAGACUAUACAGCUGAUCCAAAAAGAAGAAUUUAAUAUUGAAGAAAAAAGAAGAAUUGCAUAGUUCAAAAAGUUAACCUCUCUCUUUAUAUUUUCUCUUGUGUAAACUCAAAAUAAUUACAUAUUUUGUGAUGGAUUAUACUGUAGGAAGUAUAGCUGAUUUAAUAACACUGAUGAUAAAAUUAAAGUCAAGAGAAUUUCAGUCAAACUAAACGAAUAGAAACAAGGUAAGUGUAGAAAGUUGGAUACCAAACAACAAGUAAACGAGGGAGGAAACACUAAUCUGAAAAAAAAAACAUGCUUAUCAACUAGUAAAAAUAAUAUAAAUUAACACGAUAAUGAAGUGAGUAGCUCGGAAUCUUUUUAAAACAAAAAAUGCAAAGAAAAAAAUGGUAUGAGUGAUAAUCAACAACGAGAGAAUGUAGAUAAUUUCUAUUAAAAUGAAAAAUAAAAAAAAAGUAUCAAAUGAUGGAUGGCAGCACAGUUGAUGGCGAAAAAGAACAAUUAAAUAAGGAUAAGGAUAAUACAGAACCAAGUCCAAAAAAAUUUAGGUAAAGAAAACAAAAUUAUCAGCUAGCAGCCAUUUAAAUGGAUCGGUUAACAGUGAAGAAGAACAAGUAAAUGAAAAAGAUAGUUUAGAACUUAGUCUGAAAAUAAAGAAGGCAAAGAAAGACAAAUUAUUAACAAACAGUGUUGUAAAUAGUAUAGUUGAUAGUGAAAUGUUUCUAUAGAUUGUAAAAAGAAAAAUAUCAAAAGUGUUUUAAAAAUAUAAAUAUAUACCAAUUGAGGAGACAUUAAGGUUUAAAGGUAUAUCCGUUGUGAUCCAAAAAUACCCAAAAAAGUGGCUGCCAUCAAAAAAUAAUUUCAUCCUAAUAUAAAGAGUGUGUAUCUAUCUUUUGUUUUAUAAGAUUUGUCAAACAAGAAGAUGCUCAAAAUUCGGUUCAACAAAAUGGUAAUGUUUUCAAAGAAAAGCAUUUGUGUGAUGAGUGCAAGGCAAUAUUUGUUGGAAAUUUGAAUUUCUGAGCUGAAGAAAAGCAGUUAUGGAAAUUAUUUGAAUCUUGUGGUUUGAUAGAAUCAGCUGUUAGAAUUGUCAGAGAUCCUGGUACCAGUAUGGAAAAAGCGAUUUAGCUAUGUCAAUUUCAAAGAUGCCGAUGCUGUAAAAUCAGAUUUCCAAAUGGAAAAUGUGAAACUUGGUGAUCGGGAAUUGAGAAUAAAAAGCGAGUCGUAUAACUGGUUGCGUAUAUGCAGGCGCUACAAAAACACGUUCAGUAAAAAUCAAACAAUAAAAUUGAAUUUUCACGAAAACCAUUGUUCAAGUUCGAAAAGUGAUGUGAUUUUCGGAGUUUCCAUGAGAAAAUGCAUGAUACCAAGUGUUUUUUGGAUACUUUCUUUUUUCUGUUGUGAUUAGAUAGUUUUUUUUUUAAAUAUCAAAUUUAUAUAUAAUAUAGUCUCAUUGCCCAAAUUCGAAAACUGAUGUGAUUUUCGGAAUAUCCAUGGGAAAAUACAUGAUACCACGCGUUUUUUUUAUACUUUCCUUUUUCUGAUGUGAUUAGAUAGUUGUUUUUAAAAAUAUUAAAUUUGUAUAUAAUUGAUUUAGUCUCACCCUUAAGGAGAGGCAUCCAAUCAUACAGAAUAUUCAGAACGGUUGUUUAAUAACACGAAAAAGACUAUUAAUAGUUUCCGGCGUCGCUCCGUAGACGGCGACAAAAUCGUAAAAUCAUAGAAUAAGGAAAAGGAUUAUGGUUUCAUUUCAAAAAAACUUAUUAUUUUAUCUAUGAGUCGUAUUACGGAUUGCGGAUAGGCGGACAGGCGCUACAAAACACGUGCGUCGUCUGUGCCAGAAUAUCUGAACCACACUUUGCUUAGAGUUCUCACUGUAUAGUAGAGAGAAAAGUUUGUGUCUUAUCGGGCAGAUAGCGGUGGGUGAAACAAGAAGAGAAAUUGGAUUUUCACGAAAACCAUUGCUCAAAUUCGAAAACUGAUGUAAUUUUCGGAGUCUCCAUGAGAAAAUACCUGUAACCACGUGUUUUUUUCGAUACUUUCGAAGUAUGCCAUUUCUUCAAAUUUUCAAAGGCUAAAAAAUUAUUGGUUAUAAAAUUGACAAAAAAAAUAUUUUGUCUCAGAUUUCGCUAGAAUUUUGCACGGGGGGUAUUUUGGUAUGAGGAUCUCAGAAAAGCUAUCAAUUUCUCCGAAUGAAAAUCAUUAAGGGGGGAAAAGUGGUGAAAAUUGGAUUUUCAAGAAAACCAUUGCUCAAAUUCGAAAACUGAUUAUUUAUUAUGCAAAGCGAAGCACUUUAUGUACACAGACUGUCCCUGUAUGAACGAUAAUAAGAAUUUCAAUGCUGUAAUAUAAACUCAUUCAAUUCA